UCCUGGUUCCCAUGGCAACGGGACAGGAAGUGGGGCGUGGUUUAAACAGGAAGGCUGCCAUCUUGGCUUGCUGGAAACCCUGUGUUGUAGCUUGCCCGGUCCCUGCCUCAGGGGAGGAGACUUGCUGCACCCCCAGCCACAAAACCAGGCCGGGGAGCAGCUGGGCAAAGAUCCGGGAGGAGGCAAUCAGGGACGUGAACCUUGAGCUGGCAAGGGACCUGGACUGGGUGGCUGCUCCAGCCAUUCUUUAUGCGAAUGGGAACGCGAGAUCCCAGACAGUGCCACCCCCUUGCAAAGCUUCUCAGCCAUCCACCAGGGAGUCGAUGAGCCCUUCAUCAAGUUCGUGGACCGCCUCCGAACAAGCCAUCGAAAGGCAGAUUGACAACGUGGAAGCCAGGGAUGAGCUACUCUGAAAAAUGAUCAUGACUAACACCAACCCAGACACCAAGAAGAUACUCAGAGCUCUUCCACAGGACCUUGAUGGUCACCGCCUGCACCAGAGCCACCUCCAUGGAACAGACAGUUGCAACUGCGAUGGACACAUCGAUUCCCACCUGCCCGCCUCCGUUGCUCACUCUGCGAGGAUGCCCACCUCCUUCGCUCCUCGCCCACCGCGGUUCCAGCAGCCUCCUCGGCAUCCGGGAAACGGUUUUUUCAGCGCGCCCCGGCCCUGUGCAAUGACACCAAGUGGCAGGCCGCAGCGGUUCCAGGUGGCAGCGAGAACCAGUUCCCGGAUGGGUCAUUUCUGAGGCUUGGAGCCCCGAGGGAGGUUUCAGAAAUUAUCCGGAGGAACACCCAACAUUUCAGUCACCGUCUCCUACAAGGAGAAGAACUUCAACCUUUCGAUGAUGGCAGACACAGGAAGAUUCACCUGCCGACAGACAAGCCCACCGUGUCGCCCCUCCUGCCCCGAAUUGGCCUUCCCAUGGAAAAGGAGAAGCAGGAAGGGGACGUAGCCAAACCUGGUUUCAAGGGCUCUCAUUACACACAGAUACAUCCCCUUGAUCGAGCAGACAAACAUUUUGUACACAAAUCUACUCCCUCCCUUCUCAAAGGGAUGUUAUUAGCAAGGAGUCAUUGCCGACUGUCGACAUUAUGGGCGUCGGGUUCCGCCAUUUUCUCCCUCCUCCUUCUUUGUCAUCCUCCUUCUCUACUCCCUCCCUCUGGCACUUCUCCUGCAUCUCCUUCUUCCCCUUCCCAUCCUCCUUUGCCCUCUUCAACCCAUAAAGAAGAGGGAGGUGUCAGAGAAAGUUUGAGUACAGGUUGAUGUCUAAGAGGAAACGACCAUUACCCGUGAGAACAGGGGUUGCAAAGACAAGACAGAGAAAGCUUGAGUUAUGGUUGAGAGCUUAUUGGCCCCAGGAUCCCAAUCAUUUUGGGGUGUGAUGAGCAUCGGUAGCGGGUGCCUUGACUCAGCGUUUGAUUCAUCCUGCCGCGCCGGUUUUGUUUGCCAAAGGUGGAUCACUGAGCGUUCGCGUUCCUCGGCACGGCUCCACGCCAGCGAGCCGGCCCCCUUACCCAUUAUAAGUCUAGAAUAGGUUGGGAUUGUUUGGGCCCCUUGUUUUGGUUACAAAACAAUCGGAUAGCCAUGAAAGUUGGAGUUAGGUUGAGGUUGGAAGGGUACGGCAAAGUUGCACAUCUUUUGUAAGCAGUGUUUUUGGAAGUUACGUGCUUUCCCACGGAUGAGCUGAGGUCGCGUGUUUUUCAAGUAGGUUGUGUGGUUUUGUGUAAAAGCUGCCUUUGAGGUGGCAUGUUUUCCAUACAAAAGGCAAUUUAGAAGUUGCAUGCUUUUCCAUGCAGGAGGCACCUCUUGCACUCCAUGCUCCUGGGGGGCUUUACACUUGUUACGCACAUACGUGUCAAUCAAGGCAUCGAGGAACUUUACUAUCAGUUCGGCAUAGUCUGGUAUUUGGGGGUGGUACGCAGAGCUGGUGUUCUGCCAAGGGGGCUGCAAGAAAGCAGACCUGUUCUAAUGGGUCUUUGUUUCCUCAGAAAAGAUCAGGUACACGGGUGCAGAGCCAGGAACACGCUUCUUGUCGCCGCACUUCCGGGCAUCCCCAGCUUGCAGCCAGUCUUACUGCCCUAGUCUGUAUCCUCACUUCCAUCCAGGUGACCUCCGGCUGGAUCGUCCCCCAGCCCAGACAGAACGUCUGGGUCACCUUGGCAAAGUUCUCCAACAGGACACCUUUUGUAUGGCCAUGGGAAGCGUGGGCGAUCCGUUAUCUACGUGCCUGGUGGGAGUCCCCCUAAUGGAAAAAGAUUAUGUGUUCAUGGGUAAGAAACCCAGCCCUGUGGACUCCUGGGAUGAAUGGACAAGGAUUCUUCCACGUGCCUCACAAGAGCCCCACGAGUUAGACUUGUUGGGCUCAUCUAGAGCAAAGUACUGCAUUAACUUUGUGCAUACAGCAAGACCUAAUUGGCAAACCACGAGACCUCCAAGCAAAGAUGUCUCACCAAACGAUAAGUGGUACAACAGAGCUGAAUGGUGCAACUACACCAGCACCACACCUUCCGAGUCCAUGUCACACCCCAGAGAGCUCCCAAGGGGAGUGUUUCUUAUCUGUGGCGAUAGGCUGUGGGCAGGAAUCCCCUCCAACAUCAAAGGGGGUCCCUGCAGCCUUGGCCAGCUGACUACCCUCACCCCAAAUACCACUCAAUUGCAGAACUGGAAGCAGAAUAGCAAAUUGGCCUACCAAAAGAGAUCCUUUGAAGAAUUUGGUCCAGAUUGCGAUAGCCAAAUUUACGCUUGGGGAACAACAAAGAGGGCUGCGGUAUCCAUUUUUCUACCCUGGGUGGCCGCUGCGAAGGCCCUCGGUGAGAUUUCUCACCUGGGGUGUUGGCUCAGUAAGCAGGCCAACGCCACGUCCGCUGCGCUGUCUGAUCUCCUUGCGGAUGAGGAGACCACCAGGCACGCCACGUCGCAAAACAGGGCAGCAGUCGACUUUCUGCUGCUCUCCCGUGGCCACAGAUGUGAGGACUUUGAAGGACUUUGCUGCUUCAACUUGUCUUUGAACAGCAGCUCGAUACAGGGGAACAUAAAGGGAUAGUUAAAUCAGGUGAAUGACAUAAAGACUGAGAAAAAGGCAGCCGACUGGCUGGGCAGGCUGUUUAACCGAUGGGGAAUUCCUGAGUGGGCCUUAUCUGUCUUACAA